GAUGAAGAACGCAGCGAAAUGCGAUAAGUAAUGUGAAUUGCAGAAUUCAGUGAAUCAUCGAAUCUUUGAACGCACAUUGCGCCCGUCAGUAUUCUGGCGGGCAUGCCUGUUCGAGCGUCAUUACGCCCCUCAAGUCCCCUGUGGACUUGGUGUUGGGGAUCGGCGAGGCUGGUUUUCCAGCACAGCCGUCCCUUAAAUUAAUUGGCGGUCUCGCCGUGGCCCUCCUCUGCGCAGUAGUAAAACACUCGCAACAGGAGCCCGGCGCGGUCCACUGCCGUAAAACCCCCCAACUUUUUAUAGUUGACCUCGAAUCAGGUAGGACUACCCGCUGAACUUAAGCAUAUCGAUACGGAGGA
rnacentral:misc_RNA from 1 species